GACGUAGGGGGCAAGCGGUUGUCCGGAUUCAUUGGGCGUAAAGAGCGUGUAGGCGGCCAGGUAGGUCGGUUGUGAAAACUGGAGGCUCAACCGUUCAGAGGUCGACCGAAACCAUCUGACUAGAGUGACGGUGAGGGGAGACGUGGAAUUCCUGGUGUAGCGGUGAAAUGCGCAGAUAUCAGGAGGAACACCGGUGGCGAAGGCGGUUCUCUGGGCAUUACCUGACGCUGAGGAGCGAAAGUGUGGGGAGCGAACAGG
rnacentral:rRNA from 1 species